GGAAGUACGUAACAAGGUUUCCGUAGGUGAACCUGCGGAAGGAUCAUUAUUGUAUAACCGAGGUGCGAGGGCUGUCGCUGACCCGAAAGGUCGUGCACGCCCGAGUGCCCUCACACACAUCCAUCUCACCCCUAUGUGCACCACCGCGUGGGUCCCCCUUUGGCUUGUUCGGAGGGGGGCUUACGUUUUCACACAAACUUUGUAUGCAGUGUAGAAUGUAUUUUUUGUUUUUGCGAUCACGCAAUCAAUACAACUUUCAACAACGGAUCUCUUGGCUCUC
rnacentral:misc_RNA from 1 species